CGUGCUUAAGGAAAACAAGUCGAGCGGAGCAGUCUCAUGAAGUCCUUCGGGGUAUAUUCCCAAGGUGCUUAGCGGCAAACGGGUGAGUAACACGUGGGUAACCUACCCUAAACCCUGGGAUAACUCCGGGAAACCGGGGCUAAUACCGGAUGAGGUCACGUUGACGCAUGUCUUUGUGACAAAAAGUCCGCUGGUUUAGGAUGGGCCCGCGGUCCAUUAGCUUGUUGGUAGGGUAACGGCCUACCAAGGCUGCGAUGGAUAGCCGACCUGAGAGGGUGACCGGCCACACUGGGACUGAGACACGGCCCAGACUC
rnacentral:sRNA from 1 species